GAGUUUGAUCUUGGCUCAGAGCGAACGCUGGCGGCAGGCCUAAUACAUGCAAGUCGAGCGCCCCUUCGGGGGAGCGGCGGACGGGUGAGUAACGCGUGGGGACGUGCCCUUUGGUACGGAACAACUGAGGGAAACUUCAGCUAAUACCGUAUGUGCCCUUCGGGGGAAAGAUUUAUCGCUGAAGGAUCGGCCCGCGUCUGAUUAGCUAGUUGGUGAGGUAACGGCUCACCAAGGCGACGAUCGGUAGCUGGUCUGAGAGGAUGAUCAGCCUCACUGGGACUGAGACACGGCCCAGACUCCUACGGGAGGCAGCAGUGGGGAAUAUUGGACAAUGGGCGCAAGCCUGAUCCAGCCAUGCCGCGUGGGUGAUGAAGGCCUUAGGGUUGUAAAGCCCUUUCGGCGGGAAGAUAAUGACGGUACCCGCAGAGAAGCCCCGGCUAACUUCGUGCCAGCAGCCGCGGU
rnacentral:rRNA from 1 species